AAGGGAUUAGGGUCCGGCUGGAUAGAGGAUGCGACUCUAGGCCAGAUACCUGGUUGAGAGAAUGCUGUAUUUAUCGUAAACCGAAGAAAAUAUCUCGUUUUGCCUGAGACACUCUCCCUUCAGCUUGUAGCAAGCCAUCCCAGGCCACUGACUAUUUUGAAAUGGCACCGAAACAUCAUCUCUAUCUGUUUCCACUUCCCUGCUUGACAGGGCUGUCGUUACCUGCAGGGGUUUUCUGGCCUGCUUCUGCCGUCAAGUGAGUGGAUUGUCACCAUGACCACGGUCACCACAACAUGAG
rnacentral:lncRNA from 1 species